GAGAGAGAGAGGCAGAGACACAGGCAGAGGGAGAAGCAGGCUCCCUGCAGGGAGCCCGACGUGAGACUCGAUCCCGGGUCUCCAGGAUCAUGCCCUGGGCUGAAGACAGCACUAAACCGCUGAGCCACCGGGGCUGCCCGAUAAUUAUCAUUUUCAAUUCUGUUAGUUCUGUGUUUUCUAAUUUAUUUGUCUUUUAUGGCUUUUGUUUACCAUGUUUUCAACUCAUUCUUUUAUUUUUUGAACUUAUUAAGCUAAUUUUAUGUUAUUUGAUCAAUCAUGUUAAUGUCUGAAGGUUCUGUGGGUCUGAUUCUUUGUCCAUUCCUCUGCUGACUCACAGUGCCUCGUUUCCUGGCCAACUUUGUCAUUUGGGGCUGUGAGUUUAUCUUUUUUGGAACUUUUUUUUUUUUUUUUUUUUUUAUGAUAGCCACACAGAGAGAGAGAGAGAGACGCAGAGACACAGGCAGAGGGAGAAGCAGGCUCCAUGCACUGGGAACCCAACGUGGGAUUCAAUCCCGGUCUCCAGGAUCGUGCCCUGGGCCAAAGGCAGGCGCCAAACCGCUGCGCCACCCAGGGAUCCCUCUUUUUUGGAACUUUACCUCUGGAACUUCUCUGACGUGUCUGAAUUCUUCCAGCAAAAAUUAGUAUCUGCUCCGCCUUGUGACCAGGGGCGCUCCCAGCCUUGGGUCGUUGGAUCAUACAGGACAGCAGAAGCAACACCUGUCUGUCUAAGCGGAGACACUUCUGUAAAAGUCAAAACCAAAGCCCCAGAACCGCAGGCGCCCCGGAGACGUCUGAAUCACCACGCCGGAAGAACAGCGCAGCCCGUCUGCUCAGAGAUACUGCCUGGGAGCUGCGGGUUGGAGGCCGCGGAGGUCCCGGCGCAGGGGAGCCCCAGGGAGCGCGCCUGGCCCUGGACGGUCAGCUGCCUGCUUUCCCGGUGCCGCAGAGACGGUGGUGGUAUUCAGCAGUCAUCGUCCCCGGCGGAGAGCAGCGUUUUCUUGUCAUGAAACGUCUCAUGGGUACAAAAGCACGUGUAGAGUCGCCUGUCCUGGCGGAACCAGUAGAUGCCACCCCGCUGCCCAGCUUAGGAAGGACCCAGAAGUCCCUGUGCCUCCUAGACAACAGCUUCUCUGUGAUCGUCGGGAUCUACGGUCAGACUGUGGGAGUCCCUCCCUGAGAAACACUAAAACGGAACUGACCGGUCCACCCUCUGAGGACCCACAGACUCGGGACCUGUGGCCGGGGGACCCCCCCCCCCCCGGGGAUGGGCCAGGAGCAGCUCCCGCAGCCCCCGAGCAGGCUGGGCUGUUGCAGGGGCGCCUGUGGCCGGUGCGGUGACCAGCAGGAGCCCUGAGCGCUGACCGUGCCCCGAGACUGCCCAGGGACCAGAGUGAAUGAGCCCGACUGGAACUGGGCCCCUGGGCCAGCAGGUCCACACAGCUUGGGGAUCUGGCCCAGGACACGCAGGAACCCGGGACCCCCGAGAGAAGGGGAACAGACAGCAGAAGUCUCCAGAGGGAAGCCCCCUGCCAGGGACAGCAGCCCUCUCCACAGCAGCGGAAAGGCUUGGUCUGGACAAGCGACAAGGGCACCGGGCUGGUGGGCCUUCCCAGGUCCCUUGCUCUGGGGUGGGGGGCGCACCACACCCCGGGUCAGAUGAACGGGCCAGCGACCAGAUCCGCGGGGGCACCCAUAGGUGUUGGGUGGGGACGGUGGAGAAACCCUGACCUUGACUCGGCACGUUCCUCCGCCAGCUCCAGGCUGCCCAGGACCGUAGGGACCGUGUGCGGGGCUCCGCAUAGACCCCGGCUCCAUGGCAUGGAGACCGCGGAGGUGAGUGCAGACGCCGGGCAGUGGGCAGGGGAUGGUGGUCUUCCUCCUGCCUUGGUUUCACUGUCUCCUAUGCCUUGGAUUACCCUAAGUGACCACGAUGAUCCUCAAACUAUUUGCAAAGUGAGCCUUGUGCAUCCAUGAAAUUUGGUCCUGACUUUCAGGGAGCUUGGGUUUGCCAGGAAGAGCAGUGCCGGCUGACCAGGAGGCUCAGGACUGGGGGUGUGGCCCUGCACGGUGGCCGCCAGCCGCCACCUCUGCCCUUGGAAAUCCUGCAGGAGCUCCUGUCAGCACCAGGAAGGUCAAAGGGCAAGGGGCGUCCCUGCCCUCCCUGGUCACCGCACAGUCACUCUCUGCAGCUUGCACUUCAGGAGCUGGGGUGGGGUCCCUUUAAAAUCCAUCAUCAAGUCUCCUCUUUCCAGGAACCUAGGGAGAACCGUGGCUACUGAUAGCAAGUUCAGGCAUCAUCGUGACUUGGGGGAGCCUCCUGCUGCUAAAAAUGGGUCCGUCCCCUCCUCCGGGCCACCCCCGUGCAGUCCUGUAGGGAGGGAAGGGCUUGGAGACCCGCACCCUGUGGUCUGGGCCCUGCAAGCCUCAGCUGCCUGCGCCCAGGCUGCAGUGAGCCCGGAAAGCAGACCCUGUGGGCUAUGCCGCCGCCGGACGCCCGCAGACAGAGCUGGGGACACAGGCAGUCGCUGCCCGUCCUGACUCCCGCCCCAGUUAAUGUGGCCUGUGGCAAAGCCGCAGCCGCAGGAGCCACCAGGCCUGGCCGCAGCCCCCAGCUGGGCAGGCGGUUCACCCACGGCCUGGGCGCCCGCGGGCCACACGCCCCCCAGUCUCAGCACUUCACCCACGCGCUCCACGAAGUGCACAUGCGGGGAAAUCCCCAAAACAAGCCUGAACGUUUGCAUUUGGUCCGGACGGUAACAAACCUAGUCAGUGAAAGUCAUAGUGAGUUCACGUAGCAGUCCUGGCGCCAGACUGUUUCCCCUCCUGGUUCCCGCCUCAGUCUCCUCCUGGGACCCCAAACCACAGCCAGUUCUGAGUCUCCUGCUUGCGGGAGGAAGGGACGCGGGAGUCGCACCCCAGAGCGGCCUCAGAACACCUGCCCGCCUGCUCUGCACAAGGUGAGAAGCUCUAUGCUGGCCCCUUUCGAGGACACUGAAGGAGACUGCUCCCUGCUCUCCAGAGAAGUGUGGUAGGGACAUGGUUUUAAAAACUCACUUUAAGGGGUGUCGGGGGGCUCGGCGGUUUAGCGCCACCUUCAGCCCAGGGCAUGACCCUGGUCCCGGGAUGGAGCCGCACGUCGGGCCCCUGCAGGGAACCUGCUUCUCCCUCUGCCUGUGUCUCCACCUUUCUCUGUGUCUCUCAUGAAUGAACAAAUAAAAUCUUUAAAAGUAA